rnacentral:tRNA from 1 species
GGGGGCGUAGCUCAGUUGGGAGAGCGACGGCUUUGCAAGCCGUAGGUCGUCGGUUCGAUCCCGAUCGCCUCCACCA